CGAAGGUGUUGGAGCCACUGAGACGUCAGAGUUUGGAGACAGCGUAGGAGGCACUGUCGAAGUUACUGGAACAUUGCAAGGUGAAGAUUGCUCAGGAGUAUCCAUCCCGAUGGGAGAAGAAGGAAAGCUGGUGCCUAUAGAAGCAGGAUCACAGCCUGUCGUACACCCAUGACUUUCCUCCUCUCUCUCGGUAGACACUCCUAAAGGCUGACUUCUUUGAGAACUUGUUGUUGGGAAACUUUUAUACCAAGCAGCCAUUAGAGGCGUACACUGACGUUGAUUACCAGACGAGAGAGUUGAGAAAGGAAAUGCUUCCUCAUCAAAGAUAACAUGACGACUGAUUUAGACACGUCUAGUUGAUGGAAUGUCGGAUAACAGGCACAACAGAAGACCCUGAGUGCAGUAAAGUUUGGAGCCUGACCUGUCAGAACUUCAUAAGGACUACGGUUGUUAUCCAGAGCUGUAGUAGGUAGAAGAUUAUCAGAAAAUUUGCAGUGAAGAAUGC